AACGAACGCUGGCGGCAGGCUUAACACAUGCAAGUCGAACGCUCGUAGCAAUACGGGAGUGGCGGACGGGUGAGUAACGCGUGGGAACGUGCCCUGAGGUACGGAAUAACUGCGGGAAACUGCAGCUAAUACCGUAUGAGCCCCGUGAGGGGAAAGAUUUAUCGCCUUAGGAGCGGCCCGCGUCGGAUUAGCUAGUUGGUGGGGUAACGGCUUACCUAAGGCUUCGAUCCGUAGCUGGUCUGAGAGGACGAUCAGCCACACUGGGACUGAGACACGGCCCAGACUCCUACGGGAGGGCAGCAGUGGGGAAUCUUGCGCAAUGGGGGCAACCCUGACGCAGCCAUGCCGCGUGAAUGAUGAAGGCCUUAGGGUUGUAAAGUUCUUUUGCCCGUGACGAUGAUGACGGUAACGGGAGAAUAAGCUCCGGCUAACUUCGUGCCAGCAGCCGCGGAAACUAGUCUACG
rnacentral:rRNA from 1 species